GUGGCGGACGGGUGAGUAAUGCUUGGGAACUUGCCUUUGCGAGGGGGAUAACAGUUGGAAACGACUGCUAAUACCGCAUAAUGUCUUCGGACCAAACGGGGCUUCGGCUCCGGCGCAAAGAGAGGCCCAAGUGAGAUUAGCUAGUUGGUAAGGUAACGGCUUACCAAGGCGACGAUCUCUAGCUGUUCUGAGAGGAAGAUCAGCCACACUGGGACUGAGACACGGCCCAGACUCCUACGGGAGGCAGCAGUGGGGAAUAUUGCACAAUGGGGGGAACCCUGAUGCAGCCAUGCCGCGUGUGUGAAGAAGGCCUUCGGGUUGUAAAGCACUUUCAGUUGUGAGGAAAAGUUAGUAGUUAAUACCUGCUAGCCGUGACGUUAACAACAGAAGAAGCACCGGCUAACUCCGUGCCAGCAGCCGCGGUAAUACGGAGGGUGCGAGCGUUAAUCGGAAUUACUGGGCGUAAAGCGCACGCAGGCGGUUUGUUAAGCUAGAUGUGAAAGCCCCGGGCUCAACCUGGGAUGGUCAUUUAGAACUGGCAGACUAGAGUCUUGGAGAGGGGAGUGGAAUUCCAGGUGUAGCGGUGAAAUGCGUAGAUAUCUGGAGGAACAUCAGUGGCGAAGGCGACUCCCUGGCCAAAGACUGACGCUCA
rnacentral:rRNA from 1 species